rnacentral:rRNA from 1 species
CAGUAGCCACGGUAAUACGUAGGGUGCGAGCGUUAAUCAGAAUUACUGGGCGUAAAGCGUGCGCAGGCGGUUAUAUAAGACAGAUGUGAAAUCCCCGGGCUCAACCUGGGACCUGCAUUUGUGACUGUAUAGCUAGAGUACGGUAGGGGGGGAUGGAAUUCCGCGUGUAGCAGUGAAAUGCGUAGAUAUGCGGAGGAACACCGAUGGCGAAGGCAAUCCCCUGGACCUGUACUGACGCUCAUGCACGAAAGCGUGGGGAGCAAACAGGAUUAGAUACCCGCGUAGUCCCUGUCUCUUAUCC